UACGGGGGGUGCGAGCGUUGUCCGGAUUCACUGGGCGUAAAGGGCGCGUAGGCGGCCCGCUCAGUCCGAUCUCUAACCCCCGGGCUCACCCCGGGGUCGGGUCGGGGACGGGCGGGCUGGGGGCCGGUCGAGGGAAGCGGAAUGCCGGGUGUAGUGGUGAAAUGCGUAGAGAUCCGGCGGAACACCGGUGGCGAAGGCGGCUUCCUGGGCCGGGCCCGACGCUGAGGCGCGAGAGCGCGGGGAGCGAACCGG
rnacentral:rRNA from 1 species